rnacentral:rRNA from 1 species
UACGUAGGAGACGAGCGUUGUCCGGAAUUACUGGGCGUAAAGCGCGUGUAGGCGGAUGGGCAAGUCUGCUGUGAAAGCUCCUGGCUUAACCGGGAGUGGUCGGUGGAAACUGCCAAUCUGGAGGACGGUAGAGGUAGGUAGAAUUCCCGGUGUAGUGGUGAAAUGCGUAGAGAUCGGGAGGAAUACCUGUGGCGAAGGCGGCCUACUGGGCCGGACCUGACGCUGAGACGCGAAGGCGUGGGAGGCAAGCGGAAUCGGAUUAGACUACCGUAGUC